rnacentral:rRNA from 1 species
GUAGCUUGCUAUGAGAACAAUUAGUGGCAGACGGGUGAGUAAUGCAUAGGAAUCUACCUAGUAGUAUAGGAUAGCCACUAGAAGUGGUGGGUAAUACUGUAUAAUCCCUGCGGGGGAAAGAUUUAUCGCUACAUGAUGAGCCUAUGUUAGAUUAGCUAGUUGGUGGGGUAAUGGCCUACCAAGGCAGUGAUCUAUAGCUGGUCUGAGAGGAUGAUCAGCCACACUGGAACUGAGACACGGUCCAGACUCCUACGGGAGGCAGCAGUGGGGAAUAUUGGACAAUGGGCGCAAGCCUGAUCCAGCUAUGCCGCGUGAGUGAGGAAGGCCUUAGGGUUGUAAAACUCUUUCAGUGGGGAAGAUAAUGACGGUACCCACAGAAGAAGUCCCGGCAAACUCCGUGCCAGCAGCCGCGGUAAUACGGAGGGGGCAAGCGUUGUUCGGAAUUAUUGGGCGUAAAGGGCAUGUAGGUGGUUUGGUUAGUUAAAGGUGAAAUGCCAGGGCUUAACCCUGGAGCUGCUUUUAAUACUGCCAGACUGGAGUCCGGGAGA